GACGAACGCUGGCGGCGUGCCUAACACAUGCAAGUCGAACGGAAGUAAGUGCUUCGGUAUUUACUUUAGUGGCGAACGGGUGAGUAACGCGUGAGGAACCUGCCUUUCAGUGGGGGACAACAGUUGGAAACGACUGCUAAUACCGCAUAAGACCACAGAGCCGCAUGGCUCAGGGGUCAAAGGAGAAAUCCGCUGAAGGAUGGCCUCGCGUCCGAUUAGCUAGAUGGCGGGGUAACGGCCCACCAUGGCGACGAUCGGUAGCCGGACUGAGAGGUUGAUCGGCCACAUUGGGACUGAGACACGGCCCAG
rnacentral:rRNA from 1 species